rnacentral:lncRNA from 1 species
GGCAGGGCGGAGGCAACUGGAGUGCCGUGAGUAGAGAGGCUAAGACUGGCCAAGAGGGUCAGCACCAGUCCCAAGAGCACCUGUCCCCAGCUGAUGAGAAGGUACCAUACUGCCUCAAGUCAGCUUCUCUCUAGGCGAUGUUUUCUCCAAGGCCGAUUUGUAGGGUGUUAAAGAGGCCUCUCUCCUGGAGUCAUGGAUCUGGACGCUAAGGCAAUUUCCCCAUCGUGGCGGCUUUAAUUGGACCAGGCUUCCUAAACAGCGUCAUUUCCCCCUCGACCAGCCCUCUCUGUGCACACAUUUAGAAAAGAGGAAGCGGGUUCAAGGGAGGGCAUUGGGAGAAAAAAAACAAAAAAAAAACCGCCUGUUGGAGAAACGGAGCUCUGAGAACUCAUCCUAAGUAGAGCAAAUAGCAGGAGGCAUGUGGAAAACUGAUUAGUGAGGAACAAAGCAGACGUUUAUUGCCCAGAGGUAGAAAGUUCACUAAUCUUCCUGCGAAACCUCUGUUUUCAUUUCCUUCUCAACUAACCUCCCUCUGGACCAAAUUUAUCACCUGUCUUAAGCUUCCAAUUGCUACAGAAACCAAAGAAGUCCAAGGACUAUGAAUGGAAUCUCAUGGGAAUUGAUCUCCCCAUUCCGCCCUGA